AUGGAUUCUGCAGGAGGAGGAGGUUACACUUGGCUCUCCCACAAAGAAAACAAGACAAAUUGCAGAAGUCUUGGUACCUCCCCCACCAGAAAUGCUGGCCUCUGCAUAGCCAAACCUGCAUUGCAUGAGGAACACCAUCCUACCUGCCCAUGUGGCUGGCUGGGACGAAAAGGAACACCUUGCAAAGCCAUCCACAGUAAGUGCCAUGGGAUGAGUUGCAUUAUUUUCACCCAAAUAUUUCUUCUGGUGAAGCAAUUUGAUGAAGAAAGUAAUCCAAGCUUCCCCCUGCCCUUGCUGUGCUGCCAGUUUUGCAGUACACCAAGGAGUGGCCAUAGCCAUGAUUCAAAGCUGUGCUCAUGGAGGGAAAAAAUAUACCAGCAAGCAGUGACUGCCUUCCUUGCAUGGUUUGAUUUUGACCAAACUCAAGUCACUUUUUAAUUCCCAUACUUCAGGGGGCUUCUCAGUGAGACUUCUGAAGACAGGUCCCUGUGUUUGGACCGUAAUCAAAUGAUGGGCACCACGAAGGUCAUAGAAUCAGAAUCACCACCCUCUGAGUAAAGAAUUUGCACCUAACAUCUAACCUAAAUCUCCAUUCUUUUAGUCUAAAGCCAUCUCCCCUUGUCUUGACACUACCAGACCAUGUAAAAGGUUGCUCCCCCUCCUGCUUAUAAUCUCCCUUCAAGUACAGGAAAGGCAAUGAGGCCACAGUGAGAUCUCCCUGGAGCCUUCUCUUUCCCAGACUAAAGAAGCCCAGUUCACUCAGCCUUUCCUCAUAGGUGAGGUGCUCCAGCCCUCUGAUCACCUUUGGGGCCCUUCUCUACAGCCACUCCAACAGCUCCACACUCUUCCUGUACUGGGGGUGCACAGCUUGGACACGGUGCUCCAGAUGGGGCUUUACAAGGACAGAGCAGAGGAGGAUAUCACUGGCCUUCUGGGCUGCAAGAGCACCCCACUGGCUUAUGUCCAGGAUAAAUCCCAUCAGUUGUCACACACCGUGCCUUAUUCCAGCACAUCAGCAGUGACAAAUGUUGAGAGAAGUGCCCCAGCUCACUCCAGCAAUGUGCCAUACCCCUACAGCAGCAGCCUUUGCCUUCAGCCAGUAGCACAGCACUGGCUGCGGUUUGGCACAGGAGUUAUUUGGGCACCUGGGGCGAGGAUGCUGAAUAUUCUCUUGCUUCCUGACAUGAUGGGGAUUUGAGCCAGCCUGCAACUUAGUCCUGAAAUGUUCUGGAAUGAAAAACAGAAGCUAAUCUUUUGGGGAGAUAAGCGUGCUUAUCUUGAGGGAAGGAACUGUGCUAUUAAAAAAGAGGGGAUUUGGUUGUGCUGUUGCAAUGAAGAUAAUAAAUAUUCAUCCCUGAAAGGCA
rnacentral:lncRNA from 1 species